UAUGCAGAAGCUGUCACCUGCCCAGGACUCCGCCCCUCUCUCCUCCCACUCCAGGUUCCAUCCCUUCCCUCCCUUCCUCCAGCAACCCAAGUGCCUCCUGCUACAGGCCCCGCCUGGUCUUUUCCAUGAGGUGCCAUCAGCCCCAUUUCUGGAAGAGAGGCAUUGCCUUCUCAUCUCCACGGCCUACAGACUCUUGUGUCUGGGAGAAGGAGCAUCAACCUGUAACUACAGAACUGCCGUCACGGUCCACAUCGGUACUGCGUGGCUGCUCGCAGCCCUGGGUCCCUCCAGCACUCAUUAGUAUCUGCACCAGAGCUAGAUGGGGAAGGAAGAGGGAUGGGAUUCAUUGGAGUCCUUGUUAGGAGGAAUUCAGGCCAAAAGUUUGGAGAAGAGGAGGCUGGUCCUACUGGGCACCGCAAGGGAGCCUGUAAUCGCCCACUCCCUGGAGUAUGGACAUCCGUGAGGACAGCCAGGCCACGUUGCACCCGCUGCGUUUGCCAGGUCUCACCAGCUUAUUUUC